ACUUUCAGCAUGUCCUCAUAACUCACAACUCUUUUAGGAUCCACCGUGCUUGAACAAAAUAUCUUUGAAGUUAGAUUUAGUGCAAGGGGUGUCCUGGGAUCUAAAAAGAUCAAACUUAAAAUUAUGUGCACUUACAUUUAGUUCAAAUCAAGA